GGGGAUUUAGCUCAGUGGCAUAAGCACCUGCCUUGCAAGCAGGCAGUCAAGAUGCUUCCAUGACAAAGAGGAACUUGAGAAAUUCUCA
rnacentral:tRNA from 1 species